AGAUGAAUGAUUCGUGUAAAUAUGCUAGUUCUUUCAUGAUUAUGUGAUAGGUGGUGCAUGGCCGUUCUUAGUUCGUGGAGUGAUCUGUCUGCUUAAUUGCGUUUCACUAUGGCCCCAAAGUUAGCAAGUUAUCCAAUCAUGACCUUCGUCGACCCCUCACCUUUGAGUGCGCGUCCUAGCUUAGAGUACAUGGUGUAAAUGGACUUGUUUUGGGUACCCAGAAAGCAACGAACGUGACCGCAACGUCUUGUUGUCUCUCUUUUGACAGUUAUGGGUUAUCCCAGUCAUGUGCUUAUACUUUUAUGUGUAAAUACGUACGACACAGAGACUAGAUACCAAACUAGGCGUACCGCUGUAUCAUUUCUUUAAACCAGAGGAAGGUUGCGGCAAUAACAGGUCUGUGAUGCAC
rnacentral:rRNA from 1 species